CUUCACUAUCUGUAAAAAACUUGGGUGUAAUUUUAGACUCUGAGCUGACUUUUAUUCCACACAUUAAACAUGUUACUAAAAUAGGUUUUUACCAUCUUAAGAAUAUUGCCAGAGUCCGCCCCAUUCUCUCUCAAGCCAACACAGAGAGGCUGAUGCAUGCUUUUGUCACUAGUCGUAUUGACUAUUGUAAUGCCCUGCUUUCUGGUCUUCC